AUUGCUUCUCGGUCUUUUGGCUAAGAUCAAGCGUAGUAUCUGUUUCUAUCAGUUAAAUAUGGUAACAAACUACAGUAGUCUUAUUGGUACCUGUGGCUUAGUCACCAAUAGAAAUCAAGAUAAUUUCAUAUAACAUUAU
ensembl:snRNA U2 U2 spliceosomal RNA